rnacentral:tRNA from 2 species
GGCUCUGUCGUCUAGUGGCCUAGGACACGGCCCUUUCACGGCUGUAACACGGGUUCAAAUCCCGUCAGAGUCA